rnacentral:rRNA from 1 species
UACGUAGGCAGCGAGCGUUGUUCGGAAUUACUGGGCGUAAAGGGCGCGUAGGCGGCCUUCUAAGUCGAACGUGAAAUCCCCGGGCUCAACCCGGGAACUGCGUCCGAUACUGGAAGGCUUGAAUCCGGGAGAGGGAUGUGGAAUUCCAGGUGUAGCGGUGAAAUGCGUAGAUAUUCGCAAGAACACCAGUGGCGAAGGCGGCUUACUGGCCCGGAACUGACGCUGAGACGCGAAAGCGUGGGGAGCAAACAGG